UAACCCAAGGUUGACCUCGGAUCAGGUAGGAAGACCCGCUGAACUUAAGCAU
rnacentral:rRNA from 1 species